rnacentral:rRNA from 1 species
CCCUUAGAUGUUCUAGGCCGCACGCGUGCUACACUGAGUGGAUCAGCGGGUCAGGUUGCGCGAAAGUGUUUCCUAAUCUUGAAAUCCGCUCGUGAUGGGGAUUGACGGUUGCAAUUUUCCGUCAUGAACGAGGAAUACCUUGUAAGCGCGGGUCAUCAUCCCGCGCUGAAUACGUCCCUGCCCUUUGUACACACCGCCCGUCGCUCCUACCGAUUGAGUGGUCCGGUGAGGCUUUGGGAUCUGAGCGGAAAGAGCGUUUCGCUGUUUCUGCUCGGAAAACUCAGUCGAACCUUAUCAUUUAGAGGAAGGAGAAGUCGUAACA